rnacentral:rRNA from 1 species
CAAUAGCGUAUAUUAAAGUUGUUGCGGUUAAAAAGCUCGUAGUUGGAUUUCUGCUGAGAACGACCGGUCCGCCCUCUGGGUGUGUAUCUGGCUCUUUCUUAGCAUCUUCUUGGUGAACGUUGCUGCACUUGACUGUGUGGAGCGCUACCCAGGACUUUUACUUUGAGGAAAUUAGAGUGUUUCAAGCAGGCAUACGCCUUGAAUACAUUAGCAUGGAAUAAUAAGAUAGGACCUCGGUUCUAUUUUGCUGGUUUCUAGAGCUGAGGUAAUGAUUAAUAGGGAUAGUUGGGGGCAUUCGUAUUAUCACGUCAGAGGUGGAAUUCUUAGAUUGUGUUACGACGAACUACUGCGAAAGCAUUUGCCAAGGAUGUUUUCAUUGA